CCUACGGGUGGCUGCAGUGAGGAAUAUUGGUCAAUGGCCGAGAGGCUGAACCAGCCAAGUCGCGUGAGGGAAGACGGCCCUACGGAUUGUAAACCUCUUUUGUCAAGGAGCAAAACGAGUCACGUGAGCCUCACCGAGAGUACCCGAAGAAAAAGCAUCGGCUAACUCCGUGCCAGCAGCCGCGGUAAUACGGAGGAUGCGAGCGUUAUCCGGAUUUAUUGGGUUUAAAGGGUGCGCAGGCGGGGGGUGAAGUCAGCGGUCAAAGGGCGGGGCUCAACCCCGUCCAGCCGGUGAAACUGGAUGGCUUGAGUGGGCGAGAGGUAUGCGGAAUGCGUGGUGUAGCGGUGAAAUGCAUAGAUAUCGCGCAGAACUCCGAUUGCGAAGGCAGCAUACCGGCGGGGAACUGACGCUGAGGCACGAAAGCGUGGGUAUCGAACAGGAUUAGAUACCCCAGUAGUC
rnacentral:rRNA from 1 species